rnacentral:rRNA from 1 species
GACUGCGGAGGGAUCAUU